CAUAUUACAUAAUUUAAAGGCCAAUUUUACACUUCCCGCCAUAGCUUUGUUUCUUAAAAGAAAUUAUUCUCAGAAAUAUCAAAAGAACAACUUAAAGGCCCGAAAGUCAUACUCAUUAACGUUUAAUGUUAAACUUUUUCUAUUCUCAUCUUAAAACCUAUGCCAAGUGAAAACUUGUCAUUCAAGUCUUAUGCUAGUUCAGCUUUGAGAUUGAACCAUACUUGAAUAUGAUUCUCAACUGCAGUGUUUAUGGUGGUUAUUUAAUACAUGGCUGGUGCAGGUUCUGGCAUAUGACGACAAGAAUAUCAAAGCCCUUUAUCGUAGGGGUCAAGCUUAUAAAAAGCUGGGACAGUUAGAAAGAGUAUUUAUCAACUCUUGAUGCAGUGUCUGACUUGAGUAAAGCACACGAAGUCUCACCUGAUGAUGAAA